rnacentral:rRNA from 1 species
CGCAGGCUGCAACCCGCCUGCGUGAAGUUGGAAUCGCUAGUAAUCGCGGAUCAGCAUGCCGCGGUGAAUACGUUCCCGGGCCUUGUACACACCGCCCGUCACACCAUGAGAGUUGGGAAUACCCGAAGCCUGUGAGCUAACAUUUAUGAGGCAGCAGUCGAAGGUAGAAUCAAUGAUUGGGGUGAAGUCGUAACAAGGUAUC